GGUCCCUUAACUCAGCUGGAUAGAGUUCCUGACUUCUAAUCAGGAUGUCGUAGGUUCGAGUCCUACAGGGAUCACCA
rnacentral:tRNA from 1 species